CAGGUGAAGAAGUCGCCGCCUGACUCUGGCAGCGGGUUCAUCAUCGGCGGCGACCCUGCCGCGAGGGUGGCGCACCUGGAGCACAGCGUGCGCUUCCUGCAGGAGCAGCACCGGCUCAUGCUGAGCGGCCUGCACGCCGAGAUUGAAGCGCUCAGGGAGAGGAAUAGAGACUUACAAUUCCAGUUGAUCUUCAACAAGGAAUCUUCACCGAAAACCAGCUCGCCUGCCAUUGCUGAAGACUCGGAGAACAGUGAGGAGGCGAAUUUAAAGCGCGAGGUGAGCCGGCUGGAACGCGAAGCGGCGGCGGCGGCGCGGCGAGGCGC
rnacentral:lncRNA from 1 species